ACGGGAGGCAGCAGUGGGGGAUAUUGGACAAUGGGGGAAACCCUGAUCCAGCGACGCCGCGUGAGUGAAGAAGUAUUUCGGUACGUAAAGCUCUAUCAGCAGGGAAGAAAAAAUCAAAAUUGACUGUACCUGACUAAGAAGCUCCGGCUAACUACGUGCCAGCAGCCGCGGUAAUACGUAUGGAGCAAGCGUUAUCCGGAUUUACUGGGUGUAAAGGGAGCGUAGACGGCAAAGCAAGUCUGAAGUGAAAUCCCGGGGCUCAACCCCGGAACUGCUUUGGAAACUGUUUAGCUAGAGUGCAGGAGAGGUAAGCGGAAUUCCUAGUGUAGCGGUGAAAUGCGUAGAUAUUAGGAGGAACACCAGUGGCGAAGGCGGCUUACUGGACUGUAACUGACGUUGAGGCUCGAAAGCGUGGGGAGCAAACAGGAUUAGAUACCCUGGUA
rnacentral:rRNA from 1 species